GAUGAACGCUGGCGGCGUGCUCAACACAUGCAAGUCGAACGAAGCACUUUGAUCUCUUCGGAGUGAUGAGUGACUGAGUGGCGGACGGGUGAGUAACGCGUGGGGUAACCCUGCCCUCAUACCAGGGGGGAUAACAGUUAGAAAUGACUGCUAAUACCGCAUAAGACCACAGCACCGCAUGGUGCAGGGGGCCAAAGCCGAGACGGUAUGAGAUGGACCCCGCGUACUGAUUAGGUAGUUGGUAGGGUAACGGCCUACCAAGCCGACGAUCAGUAGCCGACCUGAGAGGGUGACCGGCCACAUUGGGACUGAGACAC
rnacentral:rRNA from 1 species